GAUGAACGCUAGCGGGAGGCCUAACACAUGCAAGCCGAGCGGUAUUGUUUCUUCGGAAAUGAGAGAGCGGCGUACGGGUGCGGAACACGUGUGCAACCUGCCUUUAUCUGGGGGAUAGCCUUUCGAAAGGAAGAUUAAUACUCCAUAAUAUAUUGAACGGCAUCGUUUAAUAUUGAAAGCUCCGGCGGAUAGAGAUGGGCACGCGCAAGAUUAGCUAGUUGGUGAGGUAACGGCUCACCAAGGCGAUGAUCUUUAGGGGGCCUGAGAGGGUGAUCCCCCACACUGGUACUGAGACACGGACCAGACUCCUACGGGAGGCAGCAGUGAGGAAUAUUGGUCAAUGGGUGCAAGCCUGAACCAGCCAUCCCGCGUGAAGGACGACUGCCCUAUGGGUUGUAAACUUCUUUUGUAUAGGGAUAAACCUACCCUCGUGAGGGUAGCUGAAGGUACUAUACGAAUAAGCACCGGCUAACUCCGUGCCAGCCGCCGCGGUAA
rnacentral:rRNA from 1 species